rnacentral:tRNA from 1 species
UCCUCUGUAGUUCAGCUGGCAGAACGGCGGACUGUUAAUCCGUAUGUCACUGGUUCGAAUCCAGUCAGAGGAGCCA